rnacentral:rRNA from 1 species
GAUCCUGGCUCAGGACGAACGCUGGCGGCGUGCCUAACACAUGCAAGUCGAACGGAAGUUAGAGCUUCGGUUUUAACUUUAGUGGCGAACGGGUGAGUAACGCGUGAGGAACCUGCCUUUCAGUGGGGGACAACAGUUGGAAACGACUGCUAAUACCGCAUGACACUUUUGGGAGACAUCUCCUAAAAGUCGAAGCUUUAUGUGCUGAAAGAUGGCCUCGCGUCUGAUUAGCUAGUUGGUGAGGUAACGGCU